rnacentral:rRNA from 1 species
GACGAACGCUGGCGGCGUGCUUAACACAUGCAAGUCGAACGGAAAGGCCCUGCUUUUGUGGGGUGCUCGAGUGGCGAACGGGUGAGUAACACGUGAGUAACCUGCCCUUGACUUUGGGAUAACUUCAGGAAACUGGGGCUAAUACCGGAUAGGAGCUCCUGCUGCAUGGUGGGGGUUGGAAAGUUUCGGCGGUUGGGGAUGGACUCGCGGCUUAUCAGCUUGUUGGUGGGGUAGUGGCUUACCAAGGCUUUGACGGGUAGCCGGCCUGGGAGGGUGACCGGCCACAUUGGGACUACGAGACGGCCCAGACUCCUACGGGCGGCAGCAGUGGGGAAUAUUGCACAAUGGGCGGAAGCCUGAUGCAGCAACGCCGCGUGCGGGAUGACGGCCUUCGGGUUGUAAACCGCUUUCGCCUGUGACGAAGCGUGAGUGACGGUAAUGGGUAAAGAAGCACCGGCUAACUACGUG